rnacentral:rRNA from 1 species
UACGUAGGUGGCGAGCGUUGUCCGGAAUUAUUGGGCGUAAAGGGCGCGUAGGUGGUUUUUUAAGUCAGAUGUGAAAACCCCGGGCUUAACUUGGGGAUUGCAUUUGAAACUGGAAGACUUGAGGACAGGAGAGGAAAGCGGAAUUCCCAGUGUAGCGGUGAAAUGCGUAGAGAUUGGGAAGAACACCAGUGGCGAAGGCGGCUUUCUGGACUGACCCUGACACUGAUGCGCGAAAGCUAGGGGAG